rnacentral:rRNA from 1 species
GUGUCAGCAGCCGCGGUAAUACGGAGGAUCCAAGCGUUAUCCGGAUUUAUUGGGUUUAAAGGGAGCGUAGGCGGCCAUUUAAGUCAGAGGUGAAAACUUGCAGCUCAACUGUAAGCUUGCCUUUGAUACUGAGUGGCUUGAAUGAACUUGAGGUAGGCGGAAUGUGACAAGUAGCGGUGAAAUGCAUAGAUAUGUCACAGAACACCAAUUGCGAAGGCAGCUUACUAAGGUUUAAUUGACGCUGAGGCUCGAAAGCGUGGGGAUCAAACAGGAUUAGAUACCCCAGUAGUCC